ACUUUUAAAGGAAAGUAGUUAUCCGAUGGCCCUAGGAACCAGUAUUCUUGGUGCAAAUCCAAGUAAAAGUAAUG
rnacentral:tRNA from 1 species